AUUGAACGCUGGCGGCAAGCCUAACACAUGCAAGUCGAACGAGUGGCGGACGGGUGAGUAAUGUCUGGGAAACUGCCUGCUGGAGGGGGAUAACUACUGGAACCGGUCGCUAAUACCGCAUCCCAUCGGAUGUGCCCAUAUGGGAUUAGCUAGUAGGUGGGGUAAAGGCUCACCUAGGCGACGAUCCCUAGCUGGUCUGAGAGGAUGACCAGCCACACUGGAACGUAGACACGGUCCAGACUCCUACGGGAGGCAGCAGUGGGGAAUAUUGCACAAUGGGCGCAAGCCUGAUGCAGCCAUGCCGCGUGUAUGAAGAAGGCCUUCGGGUUGUAAAGUACUUUCAGCGGGGAGGCGUUACCCGCAGAAGAAGCACCGGCUAACGCCGUGCCAGCAGCCGCGGUAAUUC
rnacentral:rRNA from 1 species